CCCGAAUUUUCUGUCUACGUUUAUUGCUUCGUCUUCUUCGGAGACCUUGGAUUUUAAUACCCUUUGUACAAUCAUCCUUCUAACACGUCGGGUGCUUUGCUUGUUUCUCAUCAACUUUCAGGCGUCGAGAGCUAUUGUUUGUGGAGUCUCUUGAUGAAGAUCUCUCUACUUGCGAAGAAUAAGUUAGGGCUCAUAGAUGGCAGUUGUCGGCUUGAUGAUUUUGAUGUGUCGCUUCAUCUGCAAUGGGAGCGAUGUAAUGUUUUUUUCAUUUCAUGGAUUUUAAACACUGUGAAUAGAGAACUUUCUACGGGUAUCGUUUUUGCCUCUGAUGCAACGCUUGUCUAGGCCGAUUUAAAAGAAUGCUUCGACAAAGUUGACGGGUCUCGGAUUUUCUUCCUUCAUCGCGAAAUUGCCACUCAUGUUCAAGUCUCAAGAUGUUGUUUGACAUGAUCUUCAUCAGCCACUGCCUACGGUAAAUUAAGCCUACUCGAUGGUGGUUCAAGAGGAAUCUCAACGUUCUUACUCUGCUCCUUUGCCUUCUGAAUCCACUGUUUUUUAUUCCAAUUCUUCAGUGGUGUAUGGUGGUUCUGAUCGAAGAAUGUAUAAUGGCAUUUGCUCACAUUGCAAGGUUCGUCGGCACAAGCGGGAACGUUGUUAUCGCUUGAUUGGUUUUCUUCCGGAUUUUCGGUUCACUAAAUAGAAGGAUUCUCAAGCUGCCAUAUUUGUUGAUACUGAGAACUCUGCUUCGGAUGCAUCGUCUGUUCCUGUUGCGUCGGGAUUUGCUUCUUCUGCCCAGUGUUUACGCAGGCUCAAUAUGCUCAAUUGCUUGAACUCUUGCACAAGCCAACUGCUUCUUCACUGUUGAGUCGGCUGUGAACCUAACAGGAUCUUUACAACGGGCAGAUACAGCUAUUGGUAGGAAGCAAGGUGGACUUUAUUGCUUUGAUUCGUCCAAAGUGUCUCGGUUUUAGCCACAGGAGUGGAGAGCUCGCCUGCUAAUGGAGCAGUCUUCGGCUAUCGAGUGUUCCGUCAAUAUCAUAUCAUUUAGCAGGAACUAAUAAGACUCAACAAGAAAUUGCUAAACCUAAUGUGCUUGAGAGGUUCCUUGAGAAAAAAGAGGAUAUUGCCAAACUGCGGAAAUGCUUUGCUGGAUUGUGGAGUUAGGUUGACUCAAACAUCACCAAAAAGGCAAUAGAAGAACCCGAGUUAUUCGUAUGAAGCCCCAAAGAGGAGGAGGAGGUGCCAUAUCUUAAUACUUUUGAUAUAGGUACUGUUUAUUAGUUGUAUUCUUUUCGUUGAGAAUGGAGUCUUCGGUUCCACUUCAGGGAACCCUUCUACGAUUGCAGAAGGAAGGGUCUGAAGAAGACGCUGCCUACAUACUUAUGCAGAGGAUUUUCCCAGCUGUUUCUCUGACAUGUUGAUUCGUGAUGGAAUUUGUCAUAAAGAUCAUGCCAUAGAGCUUGGAGUAUACAGUGCUUACUUAAGUUCUUGCAGGAAUAAGGACAACAUCGUCAUGAAUGACCAAUGUGGCUACUUGACGGGGACCAAGGUCAAACGAAGGAGGGGUGGCGGUCGGAUUUGCAGUCUUAGUAUCAGGGAUUCAAAAAACGGCCGUGUAACGGUAUAACGGCCGUUAUAUCGCGGUAUCGGCAGCUCCCGUUACUGAAAUCACGGUGUGAAACGAAAUCACACCCAUAACGGCUGAUAACUGUCGCAAUUUAACGGGUAACGGUCGAUCGCGGCUAUAACGAACCGUUUUUCCCUUUAAUUCCCGUUACAACACCAAACAUCACCAUGCUCGCAUAAGGAAAAAGGGAUGAAGAAUAAGAUUUGUUUUGGGUUGAGGAAAUUCCAGAUAUACCGGCGAAACAAGCGGAGGAGGAUAGACGCCGGUUAUACAAUCUUUAUGUAUAAGAUGGAGGUUCAGAGCACUUCAAGCUCAACAAAAAAUUUAAAGCUUUCUUGUAAGUUUUUCAAUGACACAUUUUGAAAGGAAGAAGAAAGUAAAACGAUUGGAUAAGUUUUAAUUUCCUAUUUUAUUUUGUUGACCAGUGUAGGAUGUAAUGGGUUACAGU